rnacentral:lncRNA from 1 species
UCUGGUAGGUAGUUAGUUAUCAGAUUUAGAAGAGGUUGGUAGGGGUGUGGGUAGUUGCUGAGAAUAAUUUUUUAAUAAUAUAAGGAAAUAUCCCUAAAAAAACCCUCUCUCGUCACAUUUGUUUUCUUUUUUCUUCUUUUUCUAUCUCCUAGUUUCUUUUCUUUUCUUUUUGAUUUCCAAUUGAUCUUUGGUUGUCCAUUCUACUGUUGAUUCUUUGUUCAUCAUUCACACGAGUGUGUCAUCGAGUUAUUAGUUGUGAAUGUUAGUAAUUUGGUGUAAGCAUUAUUUUUUUGUUUCAG